AAGACUAUAGACCUGCGGAGUACCUGCGGAGGGAUCAUUACAGGACUCGCAAGACUCCUUAAACCCCUGUGAACUUACUGUUUAUACGUUGCUUCGGCGGGUGCUCCGGGGUCCGCCCCGGGGCGCUGCGCCCGCCGGCAGCCUACUUAAUUCUGUUUCUCUGCGUUGGCAUCUCGAGUAAGCAAAAUAAGUUAAAACUUUCAACAACGGAUCUCU
rnacentral:misc_RNA from 1 species